UUUAAAAGCUUUAACGAGUAUCCACUGGAGGGCAAGUCUGGUGCCAGCAGCCGCGGUAAUUCCAGCUCCAAAAGUAUAUAUUUAAGUUGUUGCGGUUAAAAAGCUCGUAGUUGGAUUUUGGGCGCAGGCGGCCGGUCCGUCGCAAGGCGUGUACUGGACGUCCUGGCCUUCCCUCCGGUUCUCCGCCGGUGCUCUUGACUGAGUGUCGGCGGCGGCCGGAACGUUUACUUUGAAAAAAUUAGAGUGUUCAAAGCAGGCUCUCGAGCCUGGAUAAUGGUGCAUGGAAUAAUGGAAUAGGACCUCGGUUCUAUUUUGUUGGUUUUCGGAGCGCGAGGUAAUGAUUAAGAGGGACAGACGGGGGCAUUCGUACUGUGCCGUUAGAGGUGAAAUUCUUGGAUCGGCGCAAGACGAACGACUGCGAAAGCAUUUGCCAAGAAUGUUUUCUUUAAUCAAGAGCGAAAGUCAGAGGUUCGAAGACGAUCAGAUACCGUCCUAGUUCUGACUAUAAACGAUGCCAACUAGCGAUCGGGGGGCGUUACAUUGACGACCCCUCCGGCAGCUUACGGGAAACCAAAGUCUUUGGGUUCCGGGGGAAGUAUGGUUGCAAAGCUGAAACUUAAAGGAAUUGACGGAAGGGCACCACCAGGAGUGGAGCCUGCGGCUUAAUUUGACUCAACACGGGAAAUCUCACCCGGCCCGGACACAGU
rnacentral:ncRNA from 1 species